rfam:Trichomalopsis sarcophagae strain Alberta scaffold8755, whole genome shotgun sequence.
CAAUCGGCCCUUUUCAGGGCCAUCAUAUUCUUUUUAACGUAAAACA